GGCCUCGUGGCCCAAUGGCAAGGCGUCUGACUACGACAGUCGUAUGACUCAGAUGAACAUUCAUCUGGGCCAUAUUUGAUAAUCAGGAGAUUCUGGGUUCGACCCCCAGCGAGGUCA